GUCAGAGGAGUUGGGUUGGACACAGAGGAAAGUUCAACAGUCUGUGCAUAAGGAAGUGGGUCCCGUGCAGCAGAUUUCCAGCUUUUUCAUAGAGAGCUGUGAAUAGUGAUAGGAAGAUAGGAGGGGUGGCCAUAAGGGGCAGAGAGCUAGAAGAAGGUGCUGCUAAGAGUCUUACCCUGAGCUUGCAGUGAGCCAGGAGGGAUGGCCACCCGGGACUAGCCAGCCAGAGACAGGAUACCGGGGGUGCCAUGGCUGCAGAGAUGUAAGGACCUAGGAUGAGGAUGCCAAGAUGAGGAGCUAGGAAAGUAGUUGAAAGGAUCUGCACAGCAAAGCAUUGAAAAAUGAAGAAGGUGAUGAAUCCGUGGUUGGGAGAAAUAAGGCAAGAGAUGGCAUUGGGUUGAGCCAAGGAGAUCCGGAAUUGGGCUGCCUUGAGUGGAGAAGGUAAUCGUAGAAGACUGUUUCUCUCUGACACGGCCCCUGACCUUUGAAAAUGUUGGGGAUGCUGCUGGAUUUCCAACUAUUUGGGGCCUAGGGGCAUAGGUUAUUUUGUUGUAAUGAUAAAGAGAAGAAGGUGGAGUGCUUGGGGGUGGGGGGCACUUGGGUACUAUUACUAGUUUCCCAAAGCAAAGGGACCAGAGCUUAAAACUAGUAUUUUAAUAUAGCAUAACUACUUCUUUGUAGUGAAUUACAGGGUGUAAUAAUAUAGUAAAAUCAUAAAUUUUCCUAGCUCUAAGCAGGUCCCCCUGACCACAUUUGUGAAAAUACAAGCAUCAAAAAAUG
rnacentral:lncRNA from 12 species